rnacentral:rRNA from 1 species
UAGGGAAUAUUGGACAAUGGGGGCAACCCUGAUCCAGCCAUGCCGCGUGAGUGAAGAAGGCCCUCGGGUUGUAAAGCUCUUUUGUCCGGAAAGAAAAGCAUUCGGUGAAUACCCGGAUGUUCUGACGGUACCGGAAGAAUAAGCACCGGCUAACUUCGUGCCAGCAGCCGCGGUAAUACGAAGGGUGCAAGCGUUACUCGGAAUUACUGGGCGUAAAGCGUGCGUAGGUGGUUGUUUAAGUCUGAUGUGAAAGCCCUGGGCCCAACCUGGGAAUGGCAUUCGAAACUGGGCAGCUAGAGUGCGGUAGAGAGUAGUGGAAUUCCCGGUGUAGCAGUGAAAUGCGUAGAGAUCGGGAGGAACAUCUGUGGCGAAGGCGACUGCCUGGACCAGCACUGACACUGAGGCACGAAAGCGUGGGGAGCAAACA